rnacentral:rRNA from 1 species
GACGAACGCUGGCGGCGUGCUUAACACAUGCAAGUCGAACGGAAAGGCCCUGCUUUUGUGGGGUGCUCGAUUGGCGAACGGGUGAGUAACACGUGAGUAACCUGCCCUUGUCUUUGGGAUAACUUCAGGAAACUGGGGCUAAUACCGGAUAUGAGCUCCUGCUGCAUGGUGGGGGUUGGAAAGUUUCGGCGGUUGGGGAUGGACUCGCGGCUUAUCAGCUUGUUGGUGGGGUAGUGGCUUACCAAGGCUUUGACGGGUAGCCGGCCUGAGAGGGUGACCGGCCACAUUGGGACUGAGAGACGGCCCAGACUCCUACGGGAGGCAGCAGUGGGGAAUAUUGCACAAUGGGCGGAAGCCUGAUGCAGCAACGCGGCGUGCGGGAUGACGGCCUUCGGGUUGUAAACCGCUUUCGCCUGUGACGAAGCGUGAGUGACGGUAAUGGGUAAAGAAGCACCGGCUAACUACGUG